rnacentral:rRNA from 1 species
GAUGAACGCUGGCGGCGUGCCUAAUACAUGCAAGUCGAGCGAACGGACGAGAAGCUUGCUUCUCUGAUGUUAGCGGCGGACGGGUGAGUAACACGUGGAUAACCUACCUAUAAGACUGGGAUAACUUCGGGAAACCGGAGCUAAUACCGGAUAAUAUUUUGAACCGCAUGGUUCAAAAGUGAAAGACGGUCUUGCUGUCACUUAUAGAUGGAUCCGCGCUGCAUUAGCUAGUUGGUAAGGUAACGGCUUACCAAGGCAACGAUGCAUAGCCGACCUGAGAGGGUGAUCGGCCACACGGGAACUGAGACACGGUCCAGACUCCUACGGGAGGCAGCAGUAGGGAAUCUUCCGCAAAGGGCGAAAGCCUGACGGAGCAACGCCGCGUGAGUGAUGAAGGUCUUCGGGUCGUAAAACUCUGUUAUUAGGGAAGAACAUAUGUGUAAGUAACUGUGCACAUCUUGACGGUACCUAAUCAGAAAGCCACGGCUAACUACGUG